CCACUCGAGUAGGAUCUAGAUCAUCUUCUCCUCGCAAAUCUUUGCUCCAAAAAUUAAAUCUGGAUCUGAUCUGAAAGUUCUUCAAAAUAGCUUCUGAAGUUGGAGCAGCGGUUUCUCGACAGAUUGCUGCAGCCUCCUGAUCAAGGAGCCACCACGCCUUGGAUUAACACCAGAUGGAUGCCCAACUUCUUGGGUGUGAGGAAGGGA
rnacentral:lncRNA from 1 species